rnacentral:rRNA from 1 species
UACGUAGGGGGCAAGCGUUGUCCGGAUUUAUUGGGCGUAAAGAGCGUGUAGGCGGUUUGUCGCGUCGGCCGUGAAAACUUGGGGCUUAACCCCAAGCCUGCGGUCGAUACGGGCAGACUUGAGUUCGGCAGGGGAGACUGGAAUUCCUGGUGUAGCGGUGAAAUGCGCAGAUAUCAGGAGGAACACCGGUGGCGAAGGCGGGUCUCUGGGCCGAUACUGACGCUGAGGAGCGAAAGCGUGGGGAGCGAACAGG